GGUCCUGCCUGCCCUGUGACCCCUGGUUCAACGGCCGCGGUAUUUUGACCGUGCAAAGGUAGCGCAAUCACUUGUCUCUUAAAUGAGGACCUGUAUGAAUGGCAUAACGAGGGCUUAACUGUCUCCUCUCCCCGGUCAGUGAAAUUGAUCUUCCCGUGCAGAAGCGGGAAUCCUAACAUAAGACGAGAAGACCCUAUGGAGCUUUAGACUUCAGAACAGGUCAUGUAAGCUACCUCCAUGAAAUAGGUAACAACUAUUGAAUUUCUGUUCCACUGUCUUCGGUUGGGGCGACCACGGGGAAUAAAAAAACCCCCAUGUGGACCAGGAGCACAUGACUCCUACAACCAUGAGCCACAGCUCUAAUGCACAAAAUAUUUGACCAUUAGAUCCGGCAAAGCCGAUUAACGGACCAAGUUACCCUAGGGAUAACAGCGCAAUCCCCUUUAAGAGUCCAUAUCGACAAGGGGGUUUACGACCUCGAUGUUGGAUCAAGACAUCCUAAUGGUGCAGCCGCUAUUAAGGGUUCGUUUGUUCAACGAUUAAAGUCUU
rnacentral:rRNA from 1 species